rnacentral:rRNA from 1 species
GAUGCCAGCUAGCGAUCCGCCAAAGUUCCUCCGAUGACUUGGUGGGCAGCUUCCGGGAAACCAAAGCAUUUGGGUUCCGGGGGAAGUAUGGUUGCAAAGCUGAAACUUAAAGGAAUUGACGGAAGGGCACCACCAGGAGUGGAGCCUGCGGUUAAAUUUGACUCAACACGGGAAACCUCACCAGGCCCGGACACCGGAAGGAUUGACAGAUUGAGAGCUCUUUCUUGAUUCGGUGGGUGGUGGUGCAUGGCCGUUCUUAGUUGGUGGAGCGAUUUGUCUGGUUAAUUCCGAUAACGAACGAGACUCUAGCCUACUAAAUAGACGUACUUUAUUACCGGCAUCUCAAGGCCCAUCGGCUGUAUUGUUACUGAAUGUUAUUUGUAUAUUUUGUUGAUAUAUAUUUAUUAUAUGUAUGAUUGAUAAUAUGUGUGUAUUAUAU